CUCAAUUUAAAGAUCUUUUGGAAUACUGGAAUUGUUCACUAAUCGAGAAAGAAGCAAAAAUUAAUAAAGGCAAUCGUGGAUCACUAGAUGAUAUGCAUACUAUGGGUCCGAAGUCAUACGCAAUGUUACGUCAUAAGUUGCAACAAGAGGAUCCGGAUAAGCAAGAGCCUUCACAAGAAAAGGUCUACAAAGAAUCGAGGAAAAGAAAUCC